rnacentral:lncRNA from 1 species
GCUUGCGUGCAUGAACAAAAAUCUACUUACCUAGCUAUCUACCUGUCUAUCUAUGUAUUUACACAGAGAUGAAGAAGAUGAAAAAGUAUUUGAGAAGAGUUGCUUUAGUCCUGGCUAAGAAGUGAUGAUCUCUUUAUAGCUUUGUCUUUUCCCAUGUUCUGUAAGAAUUCAUUGCAGAUUAAAGUAGGCAUUAUGAUUUCAAUGGAACAAAAGAGUUAUCUUCAAAACAUGUCACAACUGCCUGGGAAAGCUCAUAAUAAGAAGCUACUAAUGAGAACCUGCUAAUAAGCAGCUCAAAAAUACCUCAAAAUAACUCAACCAUGAGCUUCUCCAUCCCCCAGUCCAACCUGCACACAUCAAAGAGAAAAAAUAUGGAAGAAAAUUGCAUAUUGAUCAUUACCUGAAUUUUUGUUGUGGGGAUCUUUUGUUGGGCACAGUUUGAGAAGCUUAAUACAUAUGAAAAAAGGAAAAUACUUAAAUAGAACAAAAUGUGAGUCCUAUUAUUAAUAGACUGUUUCUAUCUUUACCUCACUGGCUGUGAAAGCUGGGACAAUGCUUUUCUUUUCUUUUCUUUUCUUUUCUUUAUUUUGUUCUUUCUUUUUCUUUCUUGACAAUGCUUUUUUUUCUUUCUUUCUUUUUUUCUUUUCUUUUCUUUCGUGAACAUAAACAUGAAUUUGAUUAGACCUUGGUAGACUUACUUGUAGA